rnacentral:lncRNA from 1 species
CUUGCUUUUUGGGGUGAGGGAAAGGAUCUAUUUUUCAUUACAUUUUUGUUUUAUUUAUUUAUGUAUUUAUUUAUUUAGUCUCUUGUCUUUUUAGGGCCAUGCCUGUGGCAUAUGAAGGUUCCCAGGCUAGGGGUCCAAUCAGAGCUGUUGCUGCCAGCCUACAUCACAGCCAUAGCAAUGCCAGAUCCGAGCUGCAUCUGCGACCCACACCACAGCUCAUGGCAACGCCGGAUCCUUAGCCCACUGAGCGAGGCCAGGGAUCCAACCCACAACCUCAUGGUUCCAGUUUGUUUCCGCUGUGCCACAGUUCCUCCCAUCAUUACAUUUUUAAAGCAUCUAUGAACUUGUCAAAUACCCCAAAUCGUGGUACUAGGUAGUCAUAAUGGUAUUUCCCUUGUUUCAAUUUCUUCAGGUGUGGGACUGGUUCACUCCCUUCUGUCAUCAAAACCUCCAGCUUGACAUGUGGGCAAACUCUUUUGAGUGAAAAUUCAGAAUAUGUGGCAACAUCAGUGGUGCAUCCUUUUCUUCUUUCUCUUUCUUUCUUUCUUUCUUUCUUUCUUUCUUUCUUUCUUUCUUUCUUUCUUUUUCUUUCUUUCUUUCUUUCUUUCUUUCUUUUUCUUUCUUUCUUUCUUUCUUUCUUUCUUUCUUUCUUUCUUUCUUUCUUUCUUUCUUUCUUUCUUUCUUUCUUUCUUUCUUUCCUUGCUUCCUUGCUUCCCUCCUUCCCUCCUUCUCUCUCUCCUUUCUAAUGAUGGUUCCUGGUACACAGAGCCCAUCCUAUUUAAA